AGAGCGAACGCUGGCGGCAGGCCUAACACAUGCAAGUCGAGCGCGUGUAGCAAUACACGAGCGGCAGACGGGAGAGUAACACGUGGGAACGCGCCCUUCGGUUCGGAAUAACUCAGGGAAACUUGAGCUAAUACCGGAUACGCCCUUACGGGGAAAGAUUUAUUGCCGAAGGAACGGCCCGCGUCCGAUUAGCUAGUUGGUGAGGUAACGGCUCACCAAGGCGACGAUCGGUAGCUGGUCUGAGAGGAUGACCAGCCUCACUGGGACUGAGACACGGCCCAGACUCCUACGGGAGGCAGCAGUGGGGAAUAUUGGACAAUGGGCGCAAGCCUGAUCCAGCCAUGCCGCGUGGAUGAUGAAGGCCUUAGGGUUGUAAAGUCCUUUUAACGGGGAAGAUAAUGAACGGUACCCGUAGAAUAAGCCCCGGCUAACGUUCGCGCCAGCAGCCGC
rnacentral:rRNA from 1 species